AGUUUUUUAUAAGGGGAGUCAAUAUUUUAUAGGAAAGGAAGAAUAAUGACCGGGGGUCGUUAUUCUAUGGGGGUCGAAAUACUUCAUUACACCGGCUUUCAAUAACAAUAUUUGACCACAACGAUUAACAUUCUCGAAUAUUGUCCGUAAGAAUUGACCUAGCACUCAUUAAUCUUCGCCAAUAUUUUCGGACAUUUUCGUUAAUUUACACAAUAUUUGAAUCCUGAAAAUAUCUGUAUUAUUAAAGUAACCUAGCAUACAGUUAACCGAUGACAUGAUGUGUCUGACUUCUAGGCAUAUUACUAUGGGUUCGAAAUCAUCUUACAUCAUUUUUUAAUGUAAUAUAAUGUUAUCGAUACUACUUUUAUUCUUACAUUAUUUUAUAUAUCAUAUUUUAUUAAUUUAAAUUGUUUUCUCUUGUUUUCAUUUUCUGGACACGCCGCUGAUAAGUAAUCUGUCCUUUUAUCUAAGAUACUUUUAAAAUAAUCUUAUUCCAUUCUUUCUUCAACGGUUACAUAUUAUAACUUUCAAUAAAUGAACCAUAAAAAUCACGAUAAGUUGGAUCAGAUAAGCGGUAAGUUUGCAUAUAUAAUUUUGAAAAAAAGUUAUGGUAAGACGUAGGACUCGAACCCACAACCCUGAGAUUAGCUGCUAAACGCUUUGUCCGCACAUCUAUCAACCAUUAUUGCAUCGACUUAUAUUUAAAAGUUGAUACAUCAAAUCCUGGAGUUUAUACGAUGGGCAAUGCGCUGGGUAUUGUAAAAGCCCAUCCAUACACCGCGGUUUGAGACCACCAUCUACUACUAGAUGCCUGGUGUCUGCCUUGAACAAGUAUUAAAAGGGUUCCAUGUAUAAAUAAAUAAAGCCCAAUACUGUGACAUAGCGCUAUUUAUACACCACUUUGUCUUCAUGAUUCAUAUGUUAAUAUGUCGCAUAUCACCCGUAGUCAAAGAAUUACCUGGUUGGCCUUAAACUUUAUUCAAAACGCAAUAUUACAUUGGAAACCCAUCACUGUAAAUACCGAACUUUGGGAAACCAUCAUUAUAAAACCGAACUUUCUAUAGUCAGUCAUGUACUCGUAAUUUUCAGUUGACAUUAUACACGCAAAAAGAAAUACACUAACUUAUUCUUUAUCAUUUCAUUGUAAAACGGAUAGGAUAAAGAUAAUUCAACUCCAAUGAUUCAUAGACUUUUCGCUCGUUUAUCAGAUGGUGAAAGUAAAGAAAAUAUGAUGAAUUUGAAUGGACAAGGUUUGAGACAUUUAAGAAGUACCCGUCCAAUGUUCACGUAGCGCCAAUGCGUCUCGCAUCAGCUGGAUUUUACUAUGUGGGACAUGGACAGAGCGACGAAGUUAAAUGUUUCUCCUGCUCCGUUAGGCAUAGCGGCUAUUCUAUUGGAGAUGCAUAGACGUCUAUCACCGUCUUGUGAAUUCGUCAGAGGGACUGAUGGUAACAAUGUUCCUAUCCACGAACCAAACAGCUUAGCUUCUAUUCAACUUUUUGGCGACGAAUGUAUCUGUGCAUCCGGAGGGCUUACACAAAACACAGGAAGUGGGCUAACAAACGGAAUUGUGCAGGACAUCCCUGAUCGUCCAAAAUUUCCCAAGUUUAUUAGUCUUAUCGUCCGUUUGACUUCAUUCAUCAAUUUUGUGAUUAAAGAUGGUGUCGUUUUAACCAAAGAAUUAGCUGAAGCUGGAUUUUUCUACGCUGGUAAGUCAUUCGUACUUUAUAUAAAUCUUGUAAAUUAGAAACAGCUCCGUAUUCAUAAUACAUGUAACUGAAAUUAGUAUAAUCCGUCAAAUUUACUACCAGCCGCUUAACUCCUGGGCCGUGGGUUCUAGCGCUGCAGGAUUCACGACUAUUUUUCUGAUUUUCCAGGAAAUGGACUUGAGCGGUUCAAAUAAGCGUACAUCAUAGUCGAGCUGAAUUAUUAAAGUAUAAACUACCUUUUUUUAUUUUCCUUUCUUUAUUGCGUUAGGUUCAGUAACAACUGGAACAAAGAUUCGCCUUUGCAUGUUUUAGGAGCAAUAUAUUUCAGCCCCUUCUAAAACAUGUGAUGAAAAUGUUGAUAUUCCGCAGGCUUUGGAGAUUGCGUCCGAUGUUUUCAUUGUGGACUAGGCCUACGCAAUUGGAAGUAUGGUGACGAUCCUUGGAUAGAACAUCCGUGGUGCAAUUAUUUGUUAAAAUAAAAGAGCAAAGAAUUUAUUUGGCAACAUUCCAGUCGGAAUGUUACAGAAACUCUGGAGGUCAAUGCUCUACGUUUUACUUGUUUAGCAUCAUCCUGUUUUUUUUUUAAAGUUGACUUCCAUCCCUUUAAAGGGUCAUAAUGCAUUUGUUUUUUUAUAAAAAACGCCAUUAGUUUAAUCUACAAUUAUUUGACGCAGUGGGAGGGGCUGCUUAUAAUGUUGAUAUAACUUAAAGUCCAACCCAUUUGCUAUUUUCAUACUUCUGUAUUAGAUAUGUGUAUAUUAUGUAUAUAAUGAAAAUAUGCAAUAAAAUAUGAUUAAACUAAAUAAUGCUUUUGUUUAUAACGUAGCUGCCACAUAUUUUGUUUUGAGCAUAAAAUAUUAAAAAAUCUUAUUAAAUCCUACUUACGAUAGUAUUUUUUUCUUUUCGUAUAUUUGCUAAAUGUUUGAAUAUUGAUUAGAAUAGUAGAACGUUUUUAUUUAAUUAUAAUUUUAUCGUUUUGAUUAUCUUAACUGUUUAAGUUCAUGUGUAAUGGUAAAAGUAGACAUUUUCUAACAAUGUAAUUAUACACAGCAUUAUUUGAACAGCUACUUUCACUGUUUGAACAUACAGUUUAAAAAAUAUUGGAAAACAAUUACAUGUAGAUUUAAAAGCUUAAAUAAAGCAUUGUUCUGUUUAUGAUACUACCAAAUUAAUUGCGUUUUAGAAUGCGUCAUCGAUGAUUGAAGGUGGAAAACAGAAGAGCAACGCAAUCUCUCACUGAAAAGGACAAGACUGGCCUGAAAAAUCGCAGAAGCAGAGAAAUGGCCGUCUUGAUGGGACUCACAAUGUGCAAGAUUGAAGAAGUUCAAGGUCAGCAAAGUCUGCAGAAAGAGUUAGAGGAACUGAAAGACAAGCUCAUGUGCAAAAUCUGUUGUGAAACAAAUGUCGUUUUUCUUCCAUGUGGUCACUUGGUUUCCUGUCAAGCCUGGGCACCACAUAUUACGAAAUGUGCGCUUUACAGGCCGUAAGAAAAUAUUUUUAUCGUAACAAUCUCAGUGGUAAUUCUAAGACUUCUGGGAGCAGUUGUAAAAUAAAUAAAAAUAAUGUUUUGUCAUCUACCAUAACCCGAAAUAAAAUAGGAAUUUCCUGAAAUUUUAGUUCCCAAGUUUUGAAAAAGUUCCAUAUCAAGUGUCCUAUUGAAGUAAAGUGAUGCCAGAUUCUAACACUUAGAACUGGUCUUCGUUUUAUGAUGAAUUUUAUGAAUAUUUGUGUAUAAUCUGAAAAACUGUACAUCCAGAUUUGUCUCUUCAUUGGGAAAGUACCUUUAAGUUGUUGGGAGUAAAUUUUACAACAGACUAAGAAGAUAUUGUACAACUAAUUUUUGGCCCAACAGUUUAAGAAAUUAAAAUUCUCUUGACAAUUUGGUAUAAAAGGAUUUUAAUUCCUAUUGGAUAAAAAGUUGUUUUGAAAACAGUAGCACUACCAAAAAUUAAUCAUCUUUUUGUUAGUCUUCCUGCCCCUCACGUGAAAUAAUAAAGGAAAUAGAGGAUAUGUUCUUUUAAGUUUUUUGUGGAAUGAUAGCCCAGAUAAAGUAAAACGAGAUACAGUUAAGGAAAACUCUAAGGGGGAGGAUUAAGAGUAAUUGACAUUGAAAAGUUCAUAAUGGUCAUGGAAUGUUCAUGGUUUAGAAAGUAUUUGAAAAGUAACUCCACUUAUUAUGAUCUAGUAAAUAGUAUAUACCCAUGGAUUAACUCUGUUAAAAAUAUGGCACAUAUUUUUUUUUACAAAAGAAAGUAUCAGAAGUUAAAAACCCAUUUUGAAAGAUGUGUUCUUAGGAAUACACCAAUUACUUUUUCUAAAUACUCCAGCAAGUUGGGGAGAUUUUCUUUCAGAACCCGUUUUUAGUAGUCAUAAAUUUCAUAUAGGCAGAAAGCCAUUUUGUUUUAGAAAUUUCAUUUGUAAAGGUGAUUUUUUUAGUAAAUGACUUUAUGGGCAAAGAUGGAAAUCUGUUACCCUUUGAUGUGUUUUAAGAAAUAUAUAAAAUAGAAGGAAAUAACGUUUUGCUUUAUAAUAAUAGCUGCAAUCCGAGCUUAUUUGCAAACCUUACAUGUUUCACAUAAAGCAAAGAAGGAAAACAUCCCAUUACAACCUCAUUUGUCUAAAAUUGUUCUGAAACAAAAACAGAGAUGUAGGUUUAUGUACGAUACACAAACCAGUAUCUCAGCAAAAAUGGAUAAAUGAGAUAAAUCUGGUCAACUUUGAUUGGCAAAAGAUAUACAGUUUACCUUUUAAAGUUACAAAAGAUUCAAAACUACUGUGGUUACAGUACUGAAAGAAUCUCAGAAUUUUAGGAACAAAUCAUUUUUGUUACAAAAUGGGUAUUGUUCAUGAUAACCAGUGCUCUUUUUGUCCUAGAGCUACAGAAACUAAUUUACAUCUUUUUAUGAGUGUCCACUUAUAGCUACGUUCUGGUUAAAUGUUAGAAAUUUGAUUCAAAUUAAGUGUUCAUCAAUUACAAUAGGUGCAAAUUGGGCAAAUACC